UACAGAGGUCUCAAGCGUUGUUCGGAUUCAUUGGGCGUAAAGGGUGCGUAGGUGGCGCCGUAAGUCGGGUGUGAAAUUUCGGAGCUUAACUCCGAAACUGCAUUCGAUACUGCGGUGCUUGAGGACUGGAGAGGAGACUGGAAUUCAUGGUGUAGCAGUGAAAUGCGUAGAGAUCAAGAGGAAGACCAGUGGCGAAGGCGGGUCUCUGGACAGUUCCUGACACUGAGGCACGAAGGCCAGGGGAGCAAACGGG
rnacentral:rRNA from 1 species